CUCAAACACCACACACCGUUAUCAUCAAUAUCGCGUCACUGAUUGCUCUCUCUCGCUUUCGCUCUCACUCCGAUCUUGCUCUGUUCGCGAUUCUGCUCCGAUCUCACUCUCCCUUCGAUCUUGCUCCGAUCUCAAUCUCCUUCGAUCCUCUUCGCCGCAUUCCUCCUUCCUCGUGAUUGUUAUUCUUCGUUGAAAUUUGAUGUUGUAGUGCUCGAUUCUUCUCCGAUUUGGCGAACCGUAUAUGGAAGCGUGGAUUUCCCCAAACUAACUUUUAGUGAAAGGGUGAAGCUUAGAGCUGGUGUUAACAAAAUCUCCCUUCUGAGUGUUGCAGUUGGGCUUCCGUAAGCAUUAUCAGGUUCACUAGUCGUUGAAUUUAGUUGUUGCAUCUUCAUCAAAAGCUUAAGUUCGCAGGCUAUGCUGAAACAAGAGGUUUCUACUGCAUCAUCAAAAACCGCUGCUCUUAAAAAAGGUGAUCGAGUAAAAUUUGUCGGUAAAUUUCCACCUGCUGUCUUAUCACUACAAAAUUAUUCUUCAAGGGCGGAUUCUAGCGUGACAGAGCCACUUAUAUGUCUCACCCGUGAGAGACUGAAUUUUAACCGCUGGAUGAGUUAAACGGUUGUGAUGUUGUACUUGGAGAGGGGGAAAUUCCUGCAGUUAUACCAGGUGAAUAUUUUAUUACU